UUCUUUCUUUCUUUCUAGAGAUUGCUGGAGGAGCAGUCUUAGGGAGUUCUGAACAAGGAAACUGCCUGCUAUUGUUUGUUUGUGCUGUAAUCAGGGAAACACGUUUUGUAAGUAAACAAGAUUAUACAAAGAAUAUAUCUGGCUUGCAUCAUCAAUGUCUCAUCAUAAUGGAAAGAAUCCUACAAAGACCUAAAGACUGGCUAAGUACUCGGAACUAUGGGGGCAACACUAUUUUCUCAAACAGGUACAAUAAUAAGAGAUCUCCUGCUAAAGAGACAGACAACCUUGCCUAUGUCUGAAGAAGGUAAAAGAGGAAGGGAACGGCAGCACAUGUGACACCUUGCCACUGCAGUACAAAAGAAACAAUGCUCAAUGAGGAAUCUGUGGAGCUGCACCAUCAAGGAACAAGGUGGAGUUGACAGCCCCAUGAGGCCCAACUGAAUUGCUGUGCGUGGUGGUAGGACAGAACUGACUUCACAGUGAGGCCCAAUGUGACCUGUGGUAGUGAUGAUACUGAGCUGACUUCACAGAGAUCCACCCUACAAGCCACUUGAAACCAGGCUGAAAUCAGUUAACAGGACAUCAGUGAAAGAGAACCACCGCAAGACUUCAUACACUACUACUGGGAUUAACUUGGACUGUGAGUGGAGUUCUAGGAGGAUGGAAUUUGUGGAGAAGGGCAUCCCAACAUUGGUGGAGUGAGGAACUACAAAAAGGAAGAAAGGCUGAAACUCCUACUGAAUAUGUAUUAAGGCAUAGUGGAAUUGCCAUAAUACAUUGUAAAAGUUGUAUCCCAGCCUGCGUGCAUUGGGAGGGAGAGAAGUAGCCCUUGAGAGAAGCCAGGAUGAUGGUGAGGGAGAAGAUGAAGAGGAUGAGAACUGAUACUUCAGGUUGUUUUGCCAGGGAUGGUGUAAGUAAAUGGAUGCUCUGCUCAUUUUAUAUUAUUUCUACCUGCAUUGCUGGGAUGGAAUGUUUGUGAAUUGGCCAGUUGUGUUAAUAAAACUAUAAUAGAUAGUGUGAUUUCCUGAGUGGAAAUGUUGCAGCCAUGUUCAUCAGGGCUCCCAAUUAACCAGUAAUUUUGAUGACACUGGGCCUGAUCUUGGGACAAGCAUUUACCAAAUUUCAGGUUGUUAACUGCGGAAACUUAAUCAGCAAAUAAUCACUAUUCAAUCAACAGAGCAGCCAAUACCUGAUAUUGUUGGAGGCAAAGGAGAAGUAAGGGGACAGUUAAAAUGGUGGUUGUUCUUUCUCACCUGUUAAUGUGAUUUGGUUCCUUAAACUGUUGGAGUGUUGUCUGUUAACCCCCUACCCCUUCCCUGAGUGAGUGCAGAAGAAUGUCUGAGGUAAACAACAAUGCACACGGCCCCCAGCAGAGUGUGCAUACGGCCCCCAGCAGGGUGUGCAUACGGCCCCCAGCAGAGAGUGCACACGGUCCCAAGAGGCCUAGACUCAGAGGCUGCAUGUGGCUGAUCCUUGAAGGAGAGAGGGACAGAGAGGGACAGAGACACAGUGGUGGUGGA